rnacentral:rRNA from 1 species
GAGUCUUAAUUGGGCGUUAAGUUGCAGGGUAUAGACCCGAAACCCGGUGAUCUAGCCAUGGGCAGGUUGAAGGUUGGGUAACACUAACUGGAGGACCGAACCGACUAAUGUUGAAAAAUUAGCGGAUGACCUGUGGCUGGGGGUGAAAGGCCAAUCAAACCGGGAGAUAGCUGGUUCUCCCCGAAAGCUAUUUAGGUAGCGCCUCGUGAAUUCAUCUCCGGGGGUAGAGCACUGUUUCGGCUAGGGGGCCAUCCCGGCUUACCAACCCGAUGCAAACUGCGAAUACCGGAGAAUGUUAUCACGGGAGACACACGGCGGGUGCUAACGUCCGUCGUGAAGAGGGAAACAACCCAGACCGCCAGCUAAGGUCCCAAAGUCAUGGUUAAGUGGGAAACGAUGUGGGAAGGCCCAGACAGCCAGGAUGUUGGCUUAGAAGCAGCCAUCAUUUAAAGAAAGCGUAAUAGCUCACUGGUCGAGUCGGCCUGCGCGGAAGAUGUAACGGGGCUAAACCAUGCACCGAAGCUGCGGCAGCGACGCUUAUGCGUUGUUGGGUAGGGGAGCGUUCUGUAAGCCUGCGAAGGUGGCCUGUGAGGGUUGCUGGAGGUAUCAGAAGUGCGAAUGCUGACAUAAGUAACGAUAAAGCGGGUGAAAAGCCCGCUCGCCGGAAGACCAAGGGUUCCUGUCCAACGUUAAUCGGGGCAGGGUGAGUCGACCCCUAAGGCGAGGCCGAAAGGCGUAGUCGAUGGGAAACGGGUUAAUAUUCCCGUACUUGGUGUUACUGCGAAGGGGGGACGGAGAAGGCUAUGUUGGCCGGGCGACGGUUGUCCCGGUUUAAGCGUGUAGGUGUGUGUUCCAGGUAAAUCCGGUUCACUUUAACACUGAGGCGUGACGACGAGGCACUACGGUGCUGAAGCAACAAAUGCCCUGCUUCCAGGAAAAGCCUCUAAGCAUCAGGUAACAUCAAAUCGUACCCCAAACCGACACAGGUGGUCAGGUAGAGAAUACCAAGGCGCUUGAGAGAACUCGGGUGAAGGAACUAGGCAAAAUGGUGCCGUAACUUCGGGAGAAGGCACGCUGACACGUAGGUGAAGUGAUUUACUCAUGGAGCUGAAGUCAGUCGAAGAUACCAGCUGGCUGCAACUGUUUAUUAAAAACACAGCACUGUGCAAACACGAAAGUGGACGUAUACGGUGUGACGCCUGCCCGGUGCCGGAAGGUUAAUUGAUGGGGUCAGCGCAAGCGAAGCUCCUGAUCGAAGCCCCGGUAAACGGCGGCCGUAACUAUAACGGUCCUAAGGUAGCGAAAUUCCUUGUCGGGUAAGUUCCGACCUGCACGAAUGGCGUAAUGAUGGCCAGGCUGUCUCCACCCGAGACUCAGUGAAAUUGAACUCGCUGUGAAGAUGCAGUGUACCCGCGGCAAGACGGAAAGACCCCGUGAACCUUUACUAUAGCUUGACACUGAACAUUGAGCCUUGAUGUGUAGGAUAGGUGGGAGGCUUUGAAGUGUGGACGCCAGUCUGCAUGGAGCCGACCUUGAAAUACCACCCUUUAAUGUUUGAUGUUCUAACGUGGACCCGUUACCCGGGUUGCGGACAGUGUCUGGUGGGUAGUUUGACUGGGGCGGUCUCCUCCUAAAGAGUAACGGAGGAGCACGAAGGUUGGCUAAUCCUGGUCGGACAUCAGGAGGUUAGUGCAAUGGCAUAAGCCAGCUUGACUGCGAGCGUGACGGCGCGAGCAGGUGCGAAAGCAGGUCAUAGUGAUCCGGUGGUUCUGAAUGGAAGGGCCAUCGCUCAACGGAUAAAAGGUACUCCGGGGAUAACAGGCUGAUACCGCCCAAGAGUUCAUAUCGACGGCGGUGUUUGGCACCUCGAUGUCGGCUCAUCACAUCCUGGGGCUGAAGUAGGUCCCAAGGGUAUGGCUGUUCGCCAUUUAAAGUGGUACGCGAGCUGGGUUUAGAACGUCGUGAGACAGUUCGGUCCCUAUCUGCCGUGGGCGCUGGAGAACUGAGGGGGGCUGCUCCUAGUACGAGAGGACCGGAGUGGACGCAUCACUGGUGUUCGGGUUGUCAUGCCAAUGGCACUGCCCGGUAGCUAAAUGCGGAAGAGAUAAGUGCUGAAAGCAUCUAAGCACGAAACUUGCCCCGAG